UGUGAUAGGGGGAUUCCAAGUGCUUAUACUAAGUAUAAGCUUUUGCCAAGGGUAAAAACCUUGGAGAAUAAGUGGUGGGAAAGACUGGUGCCAGCAGCCGCGGUAACCCCAGCGCCACGAGUGGCAAUCACAUUUAUUGGGCCUAAAGCGUCCGUAGCCGGUCUGAAAAAUCUUUUGUGAAAUCGUACAGCUUAACUGAACGGCGUGCAGAAGACACUAUCAGACUAGGGACCGGGAGGAGUCAGAGGUAUGCCGGGGGGAGCGGUAAAAUGCUAUAAUCCCUGGUAGACCACCUGUGGCGAAGGCGUCUGACUAGAACGGAUCUGACGGUGAGGGACGAAAGCUAGGGGAGCGAACCGGAUUAGAUACCCGAGUAGUCCUAGCUGUAAACGCUGUGAACUAGGUGUUGCACAUUCUCCGAGAAUGUGCAGUGUCGAAGCGAAGGUGUUAAGUUCACCGC
rnacentral:rRNA from 1 species